AUAACUGCUUUAGACACUCUCCUUUGAUGCUGUCUGAAAUUUGAAAACCCAGCAGAGGAGGAAAGUGUGGUCUUAUCCUCGAGGAAGGGCAUGAGCUGGGAGGUCACCCACAUUAUUACCUUCACAUCAGUUGUCACACCUAAUAGCAAAGGUGACUGGAAAUACAGUCUUUCUUCUGAGCAGCCACAUGCACAGCAAACGUGGGAGUGAAAAAGGAGGCACGGUGAUGGAGUGCGUGGAAAGUAACUUGGAGGCUGGAGAGAUGUCUUGGCAGUUUAGACCACACCAUAUUCUUGCAGAAGAUCCUCGUUCAACUCCUAUGCCUGUGCCAGUGGGCUCAUGGCACCCGUGACUCCAGUUCCACAAGAGUUGAUCCCUCCUCAAUCCCUCUGGCCUCUGAGGAUGCUUCCACUCUCAUGCUCAUACCCACGUGCAGAUAUACACAAUU
rnacentral:lncRNA from 1 species